UUAUAGACUUUGAAACGUAUGUUAUAAUUAGAGUAUUAAAUAUCAAAAUGGAAAAUAUAUGAAUACAGACAUGUAUACGUAUGUGUGUGCAUGUGUAUAUGUGUGCACACAUGUGUAUAUCUCCCAUAUACUAUUUCCCAGUUAACACUCUAUACCCCAUAACUAGCAAGGCAGUGGUAAGCAAGGUAUGCUCUGACACUAAACACCUUUAUUUGUUCUCCUAAACAGUGAAAUUCAUCAGAAGAAUAAGUACCUCCUACCCCUUUGUGCACCACCUCAGUUCUACGUGUCUCCCCUGUGCUCCAGCCACUGCCCAAGGACCAAUUUCAUGAAGCCUUCAAGCAGCUUCAUGCAGGCAGUCUGGAAGUACCUCCCACCUACACAAUAGAGCUCUCACUUUGACUCUAGGGAGUGGGAAGCUUUCCAAGCAUCUGGCACACAUUCAGGAGCAGCCCAGGAGCGCAGGAAAGUCAAUACCUUUGGAGCUACUGUUGACCAGUGAGGAUGGAACCAGUGGAUAAAUGCUUUCCCUUUUUGUUUCCCAGGUGGACAGUUUCGAAACGCAUUUCCUAAGACUCCUCAGGAGGUCUUGCAGAAUCUAAGACCAGUCACCUAGAGCAGCAAUUAACUCAAAAGAAACACAUCUUUGUAUCGUCUUCCCUUCCUUUCCCGUUUCACCUUUUCACUCCUCUUUCCUAAGAUGACUUCCUAAAUGAACUACCUGCCUGGAAGCCUUUGUCUCAGGCUCUGCUCUCAGGAGAACACAGGCUAAGAAAGAUUUGGAGAGGUGAGGUGCUCAGCUACAGGACUACACUUCUGUCUUCCGUGCAGUGAAGUGAGACUGUGCGGCUAAGUUCUGGCCCAUAAGAUGAAAACAGAAGAAUACGGGACUUGCAACAGUUCUCUUCAAAGGGAAGAGAAUACAGGCUACUCAGACUUCCUCGCCUUUCCUCUUGAUACUUGCCUGGAAAAUGGCAGUAAUGACUGGAUAUCCAGCAGCAGUUUGAACUAUGAGGUGACUUUGAGAAAGCGAACCAAGUGUAGGAAAUGCAGGAGCAGAAAUAUGAAGAAUUCUGGGUCCCUGAUGAACAUGGAAUGGCCAUGCCAGCUCUGAAUUGCCACCUUCAGAUUUCUGUUAUGUAAGAAGAAAUAGUCUAUCUUUGUAAGUAAUCAUUAUUUGGGGUUUAUCUGUUACAUGUAGCCAAAAAUAAUCCUAACUUAUAAAAUCCUAUGUAUAGAAAUUAUAGGCAAGUGUCCAUUAAGAGAGUGGUUCUCACUAACGGUGACAGUGUUCUAAGAAACACUUGGAAAUGUUGAGACAUUUUUCGUUGUUGGAACUUGAGUGUUGAUACUGGCAUCUAGUGGGUGGGGGCUAGAGAUGAUGCAAACUAUCCCAUAAUGCACAGGACAGUCCUCACAACAGAGUUAUCAGCCCUAAAUGUCAGAAGUAUAAAAGUUGAGAUAUCCUGCAUUAAUUAAGCCAGUUUACUCCCUCCUCUCAAUACAGACGGAUUAGUCUAUACAAGAAGUUACCCAA
rnacentral:lncRNA from 1 species